rnacentral:pre_miRNA from 1 species
UUCUUUGGUGCAGCCCCUCGCGAUUGAUGAUAGCAUCUCCAAUGAGCAUAUCACAUUGGAUUAGUUCUCAUCGAUGCCGAUGCGCUGUACCAG